rnacentral:rRNA from 1 species
UACGUAGGGUGCAAGCGUUGUCCGGAAUUACUGGGUGUAAAGGGUCCGCAGGCGGGUAAGCAAGUCGGUGGUGAAAUCCUGCAGCUUAACUGCAGAAUUGCCUCCGAUACUGUUUAUCUUGAGUUCGAGAGAGGAUGAUAGAAUUCAUGGUGUAGCGGUGAAAUGCGUAGAUAUCAUGAAGAAUACCGGUUGCGAAGGCGGUCAUCUGGCUCGAUACUGACGCUCAGGGACGAAAGCGUGGGGAGCAAACAGG